rnacentral:lncRNA from 1 species
CUUUUCAACUAUCAUUAUGUUUAACCAAAUGCAUUACACUAAGGCUAUGUUCACACGGCGACUAUUCAAUUCGAUUUUUUCACGUAUACAGUUUUACCAUAUACGAGACAGUCGAUCACACGACAACUAUUUUCAUUCGAUUUUAACGUGACGUUAAAAUCGAAUGAAAGCAACUAGUUGUUUAGUGCACACCAUGAUCGAUCCACAUAUUUCACUUCUUUUACAUUGGUAUUAUAGAUGGAGAUGCAAGCAGCGUUCUAGGAGGUAUUGGGUUCAUCCUUUACUGAAGAUUGGUCCACAUCAAGAAAAAAGAUUCGGAAAAUUUUUUCAAAGCCUCAAAAAUGAAGAACAUAUGUUUGUCUCUCGUCUCGAAUAAGAGAGACAAGUUUGUUCAUGUGAACGAUACAUCAUCAACAUAAACGCAACUGCAUGUCCUAUUCGAUAAAAUCGUUUUGAGACGCGGCCUCCUCGGUGAUAAGUUCGGAGGGUAUACGGUAAAAAAUAUUUCUCGAACACGGGAUUUCUCCGCAUGGACUGCGUGUGAACAAUGUUUAAGUUUUUAUAUAUAUAAUCUGCUGUCA